GGAGUUAGCCGGUGCUUCUUCUGUGAGUGAUGUCCUUCCUGCCGGCUAUUAACCCGCAGGCCUUCUUCCUCACUGAAAGUGCUUUACAACCCGAAGGCCUUCUUCACACACGCGGCAUGGCUGGAUCAGGGUUGCCCCCAUUGUCCAAUAUUCCCCACUGCUGCCUCCCGUAGGAGUCUGGGCCGUGUCUCAGUCCCAGUGUGGCUGAUCAUCCUCUCAGACCAGCUACGGAUCGUCGCCUUGGUGAGCCGUUACCUCACCAACCAGCUAAUCCGACAUAGGCUCAUCCGAUAGCGCGAGGCCCGAAGGUCCCCCGCUUUCCCCCGUAGGGCGUAUGCGGUAUUAGCCUGGGUUUCCCCAGGUUAUCCCCCACUACCGGGCAGAUUCCUAUGCAUUACUCACCCGUCCGCCGCUCGCCACCAGGGAGCAAGCUCCCCGUGCUGCCGCUCGACUUGCAUGUGUUAGGCCUGCCGCCAGCGUUCAAUCUGAGCCAGGAAUCGAAACCCUGA
rnacentral:rRNA from 1 species